UGAGGCAGGAGAAUUGCUUGAACCCAGGAGGUGGAGGUUGCAGUGAGCCGAGAUCACGCUACUGCACUCCAGCCUGGGCGACAGAGCGAGACUCCGUCU
rnacentral:miRNA from 1 species